UACGUAGGGUGCGAGCGUUGUCCGGAAUUAUUGGGCGUAAAGAGCUUGUAGGCGGUCUGUCGCGUCUGCUGUGAAAAUCCGGGGCUCAACCCCGGACUUGCAGUGGGUACGGGCAGGCUAGAGUUCGGUAGGGGAGACUGGAAUUCCUGGUGUAGCGGUGAAAUGCGCAGAUAUCAGGAGGAACACCGGUGGCGAAGGCGGGUCUCUGGGCCGAUACUGACGCUGAGGAGCGAAAGCGUGGGGAGCGAACAGG
rnacentral:rRNA from 1 species